CCUGAUAGCUCAGCUGGUAAAGAAUCUGCUUGCAGUACAGGAGAUCCAGGUUUGAUUCCUGGAUCAGGA
rnacentral:tRNA from 1 species